rnacentral:tRNA from 1 species
AAAGAAUUAGUUAAAUAAUAUAACAUAAAUAUGUCAAUUUUAAAUUAAUAAUAAUUAUUAUUCUUUU